rnacentral:rRNA from 1 species
GAUGAACGCUGGCGGCGUGCCUAAUACAUGCAAGUCGAGCGAACAGACGAGGAGCUUGCUCCUCUGACGUUAGCGGCGGACGGGUGAGUAACACGUGGAUAACCUACCUAUAAGACUGGGAUAACUUCGGGAAACCGGAGCUAAUACCGGAUAAUAUAUUGAACCGCAUGGUUCAAUAGUGAAAGACGGUUUUGCUGUCACUUAUAGAUGGAUCCGCGCCGCAUUAGCUAGUUGGUAAGGUAACGGCUUACCAAGGCGACGAUGCGUAGCCGACCUGAGAGGGUGAUCGGCCACACUGGAACUGAGACACGGUCCAGACUCCUACGGGAGGCAACAGUAGGGAAUCUUCCGCAAUGGGCGAAAGCUUGACGGAGCAACGCCGCGUGAGUGAUGAAGGUCUUCGGAUCGUAAAACUCUGUUAUUAGGGAAGAACAAAUGUGUAAGUAACUAUGCACGUCUUGACGGUACCUAAUCAGAAAGCCACGGCUAACUACGUG